GGAAAGUACCCUGGAUGGAGCUGGAAAAUACCCGGGAUGGAGCUGGAAAAUAACCGGGAUGGAGCUGGAAAAUACUCGGGAUGGAGCUGGAAAAUAUUCGAGAUGAAGCAGGAAAACACCCGGGAUGGAGCUGGAAAAUAUUCGGGAUGGAGCUGGAAAAUACUCGGGAUGGAGCUGGAAACACUCGGGAUGGAGCUGGAAAAUACCCGGGAUGGAGCUGGAAAAUACUCGGGAUGGAGCUGGAAAAUACCCGGGAUGGAGCUGGAAAAUACUCGGGAUGGAGCUGGAAAAUACCCGGGAUGGAGCUGGAAAAUACUCGGGAUGGAGCUGGAAAAUACCCGGGAUGGAGCUGGAAAAUACUCGGGAUGGAGCUGGAAAAUACCCGGGAUGGAGCUGGAAAAUACUCGGGAUGGAGCUGGAAAAUACCCGGGAUGGAGCUGGAAAAUACUCGGGAUGGAGCUGGAAAAUACCCGGGAUGGAGCUGGAAAAUACUCGGGAUGGAGCUGGAAAAUACCCGGGAUGGAGCUGGAAAAUACUCGGGAUGGAGCUGGAAAAUACCCGGGAUGGAGCUGGAAAAUACUCGGGAUGGAGCUGGAAAAUACCCGGGAUGGAGCUGGAAAAUACUCGGGAUGGAGCUGGAAAAUACCCGGGAUGGAGCUGGAAAAUACUCGGGAUGGAGCUGGAAAAUACUCGGGAUGGAUCCUGAGGAAUUUCAGGAUGGAGCAGGAAAAUACUCGGGAUGGAGCUGGAAAACACCCGGGAUGGAUCCUGAGGAAUUUCGGGAAAACGAAGGAUCCCGGGGUGAAGAUCUGGCUCAUCCCCUGCGCUGCUGGAGGGACAAUUUUGGGACAGUUCUGUCUUAGAGCCCUGGCGCCCUCCCUGCUGCCAGAAAGGGAAUUUUUCAUGGAAAUUUUACCUGGUUUGGCUUCAGCCAUCCCCACAACCACCCAGCGCGCACACACCCCCACACUGUCCCCCCCUCAGCAGCAAUCCCCAAAUUUCCUCCGAAGCAGCACCCUCGUGGCGCUCAGGAAAGCAGGGAUGGAUAAAUCCCAGUGGUCCCUCCACGCCUGGAGCGCUCCCUGCUCCGUCCCCCAGCCCCGGAACACCAAAACCGAGCCCAAAAAAAAGGAGGUGGCACGGGGGAGGAGCAGCUCUCCCUGCGCGGGGCCCCUCUGCUCGCACAUGCCAGGGAACGCUGGGUCGCCGUGGUGACGGAUUAGGGGAUUAGAGGGCUCAGGUGAGCCCUGCGCACGCGAUCCGGUGACAACCCCGGGAAAAACCCCGGGAAAAACCCCGGGAAAAACUCCGGUGAACGGCUCCGAGCCCAGGAGGGACCAGGCACCACCGGGAAAGGGAAGAGUCCCCGUGGAAUGGGAAUUCCGAGGGUCCCCAAGGAAUGGGAAUGCUGAGGGUCCCCAAGGAAUGGGAACACUCAGUGUCCCCAAGGAAUGGGAACAUUCAGUGUCCCCAAGGAAUGGGAAGGGGGGGGGGGGGGGGGGGGGGGGGGGGGGGGGGGGGGGGGGGGGGGGGGGGGGGGGGGGGG
ensembl:lncRNA